rnacentral:rRNA from 1 species
UACGUAGGGUCCGAGCGUUUGUCCGGAAUUACUGGGCGUAAAGCGCUCGCAGGCGGCUUGCUACGUCGUGCGUGAAACACCCCGGCUCAACUGGGGAGGGUCGUGCGAUACGGGCAGGCUGGAGGCCAGUAGGGGGAGUGCGGAAUUCCGGGUGUAGUGGUGGAAUGCGUAGAGAUCCGGAGGAACACCAGCGGCGAAGGCGGCAUCCUGGACUGGUACUGACGCUCAGGAGCGAAAGCGUGGGGAGCGAGUCGG